GUUAUAGUAACACUCCGCUAGAUGACAUUAUCGACGGCUGAGGGACAACGCCGGAGAGAAUUCUCUCACGGACUUGAGACGUUGUUGCACGUCGACACACACAAGAUUCAUCUUUAUAGUGAACUAGCUGCGACAGUUCUCGAGCAAGCAGCUACUUAUGUACAUCGCGGUCGCCUAGAACACGUUCGCCGCUACAUUUGGGAACUAGUUCCGAAUCGCUCCGGUGACCUAUUUGCGAUGACAUUUCAUUAUAAUUGAAAACAAGAGUCGCCGCUGGACCCGAGCGAGUCUAGCUCGACAGUCGACACUAUUUCAAGUCAGCAGUGAUUCAUGUGUCUAGUGCGAGCGGCUUCACUCCUUAUCUCAGAUGAUCGUAGCCAUUAAUCUUACUUAUUUCCUAUCACAUAUUGUAAUUAAUGACGUAUAAAUUUUGUAUAAAAAUGUAAUAAAAUCGUCAACAAA